rnacentral:rRNA from 1 species
UACAGAGGUCUCAAGCGUUGUUCGGAUUCAUUGGGCGUAAAGAGCUCGUAGGCGGUUUUGUUGCGUCGGCUGUGAAAUCCCGAGGCUCAACCUCGGGUCUGCAGUCGAUACGAGCAAACUAGAGUGUUGCAGGGGAGACUGGAAUUCCUGGUGUAGCGGUGAAAUGCGCAGAUAUCGGGAGGAACACCAGUGGCGAAGGCGGCUCUCUGGGGUAUUUCUGACGCUGAGGCACGAAAGCCAGGGGAGCGAACGGG